rnacentral:rRNA from 1 species
GAGUUUGAUCCUGGCUCAGAAUAAACGCUGGCGGCGUGCCUAACACAUGCAAGUCGAACGAGAAAGCCCGGCUUCGGCUGGGCAAGUAAAGUGGCGCACGGGUGAGUAACGCGUAGGCAACCUGCCCCUGUGUUCGGGAUAACAGUGCGAAAGCGCUGCUAAUACCGGAUAUGGCCCUGAAGCGGGAGUUUCAUGGUCAAAGUCGGCCUCUCGACGAAGCCGAUGCACGGGGAUGGGCCUGCGUCCUAUCAGCUUGUUGGUAGGGUAACGGCCUACCAAGGCUACGACGGGUAGCUGGUCUGAGAGGAUGAUCAGCCACACUGGCACUGAAACACGGGCCAGACUCCUACGGGAGGCAGCAGUGAGGAAUUUUGCGCAAUGGCCGCAAGGCUGACGCAGCAACGCCGCGUGGGUGAAGAAGGCCUUCGGGUCGUAAAGCCCUGUCAGGUGGGAAGAAUGUCCGGGGGGUGAAUGAUUCCCUGGAGUGACGGUACCACCAGAGGAAGCACCGGCUAACUCCGUGCCAGCAGCCGCGGUAAUACGGAGGGUGCGAGCGUUAUUCGGAAUUACUGGGCGUAAAGCGCGUGCAGGCGGGUAUGCAAGUCUGAUGUGAAAGCCCUGGGCUCAACCUGGGAAGUGCAUUGGAAACUGCAUAUCUUGAGUUCUGGAGAGGAAGGGGGAAUUCCCGGUGUAGAGGUGAAAUUCGUAGAGAUCGGGAGGAAUACCAGUGGCGAAGGCGCCCUUCUGGACGGCAACUGACGCUGAGACGCGAAAGCGUGGGGAGCAAACAGGAUUAGAUA